rnacentral:rRNA from 1 species
UUCGCAAUGCCCGAAAGGGUGACGAUGCGACGCCGCGUGAGCGAAGAAGGCCCUAGGGUUGUAAAGCUCUGUCGGGGGUUAAGAAAUGCAGGUUGGCUAAUACCCAGCUUGUUUGACAAAGGCCCCAAAGGAAGCCACGGCUAACUCUGUGCCAGCAGCCGCGGUAAUACAGAGGUGGCAAGCGUUGUUCGGUAUUAUUGGGCGUAAAGAGCACGUAGGUGGUUUUGUAAGUCAGAUGUGAAAGCCUUCUGUUCAAAGGAAGAACGGCAUCUGAAACUGCAAAUCUUGAGUGUAGGAGGGGAGAGUGGAACUUCUGGUGGAGCGGUGAAAUGCGUAGAUAUCAGAAGGAACGUCGGCGGCGAAAGCGACUCUCUGGCCUAUUACUGACACUGAGUGUGCGAAAGUUAGGGGAGCGAACGGGAUUAGAUACCCCGGUAGUCCUAACCGUAAACGAUGGGCACUAAGUAGAGGGGUUUU